rnacentral:rRNA from 1 species
CCUACGGGUGGCAGCAGUGAGGAAUAUUGGUCAAUGGGCGAGAGCCUGAACCAGCCAAGCAGCGUGAAGGAUGAAGGCCCUACGGGUUGUAAACUUCUUUUGUAAAGGAAUAAAGUGAGGCACGUGUGCCUUUUUGCAUGUACUUUAUGAAUAAGGAUCGGCUAACUCCGUGCCAGCAGCCGCGGUAAUACGGAGGAUCCGAGCGUUAUCCGGAUUUAUUGGGUUUAAAGGGAGCGUAGAUGGGUUGUUAAGUCAGUCGUGAAAGUUUGGGGCCCAACCGUAAAAUUGCCGUUGAUACUGGCAGUCUUGAGUGCAGUUGCGGUAGGCGGAAUUCGUGGUGUAGCGGUGAAAUGCUUAGAUAUCACGCAGAACUCCGAUUGCGAAGGCAGCUUACUAGACU